rnacentral:rRNA from 1 species
UACGUAGGGGGCGAGCGUUGUCCGGAUUUAUUGGGCGUAAAGAGCGUGUAGGCGGUUCGGUAAGUCUGUCGUGAAAUCCUGAGGCUCAACCUCGGGCGUGCGAUGGAUACUGCCGGGCUAGAGGGUGGUAGAGGCGAGUGGAAUUCCCGGUGUAGCGGUGAAAUGCGCAGAUAUCGGGAGGAACACCAGUGGCGAAGGCGGCCCUCUGGACCAAUACUGACGCUCAUGCACGAAAGCGUGGGGAGCAAACAGG